rnacentral:rRNA from 1 species
AUUAACGAAUAACUAUGGUGUCUUGGUUGUCGCUGGCUCCUCGGAGCAUUGUGCACGCCCGCCAUUUUUAUCUAUCCACCUGUGCACCGAAUGUAGGUCUGGAUGACUCUCGCCUUCGGGCGGAUGCGAGGUUUGCGUGCGAGCGCUCUCCUCGAAUUUCCAGGCUCUACGUCUCUUUACACACCCCAAACGUAUGAUGCAGAAUGUAGUCAAUGGGCCUUUACAAGCCUAUAAAACACUAUACAACUUUCAGCAACGGAUCUCUUGGCUCUCGCAUCGAUGAAGAACGCAGCGAAAUGCGAUAAGUAAUGUGAAUUGCAGAAUUCAGUGAAUCAUCGAAUCUUUGAACGCACCUUGCGCUCCUUGGUAUUCCGAGGAGCAUGCCUGUUUGAGUGUCAUUAAAUUCUCAACCUCACCGGUUUUCUGAACCGUUCUCCGAGGCUUGGAUGUGGGGGUCUGUGCAGGUCGCCUCAGCGCGGUCUGCUCCCCUGAAAUGCAUUAGCGAGAUUCAUUCUGGACCUCCGUCUAUCGGUGUGAUAAUUAUCUACGUCGUUGACUUGGUUCGGACUCGCUUCUAACCCGUCCGCGAGGACAACAUACUUGACAAUUUGACCUCAAAUCAGGUAGGACUACC